AGUACAUCAGAGUCUCUAGUUUGAGAAAUAGACGCAUCACAUGUCCUCCGCUGACAGCUUCAUUGAAUUCUACCCGCUCAACACCAGUUUCAUGUACAACAGUAAAGAGAAGACUCAGGGGUGCAGGCCUUAUGGGAAGAAUUGCAAAGAAAAAGCCACUUUUGAAACAGAAAAACAAAAAGAAAAGGUUAGAGUGGGCAAAGAAACACAGACAUUGGACAACAGAUAAUUGGAAAAGAGUGUUAUGGAUCUUAACCCCAUUGAGUUUUUGUGGGAUCAGCUAGACUGUAAGGUGUGUGAGAAGUGCCCGACAAGACAGCCACAUCUAUGACAAGUGCUACAGGAAGUGUGGGGUGAAAUGUCACCUGAGUAUCUGGACAAACUGACAGCUAGAAUUCCAAGGAUCUGCAAAGCUGUCAUUGCUGCACAUGGAGGAUUUUUUGAUGAGAACUCUUUGAAGUAGUUCAAGAAGUUCUGAAAAAAAAAAUUAAAAUAGUAAUAGUAAUCUUUCAUGUUAUUAAUGUCCUGACUAUACAUUGUGAUCAGUUGAAUGCCACUUUGGUGAAUAAAAGUACCAAUUUCUUUCCAUAAGAGCAAAAUCUGUAUAUUAUUCCAAUCUUUUGGCUGCCAGUGUAAAUCUCAACUUUUAUUUUUAUUUUUAUUUAGUUUUCUAAGUGGGUUUCACACUCCAAUAUCGAAUUUUACAAGUAAACUAAGGCAUCUAAAUAUUUAACCUCCUGAGACCCCCGAAUGACUGCUGUGUGCAUUGUCCAUUUCCCUUUUUUAUUUGCAACUAGUAGCACCUAAUAAACAAGCAAAAAAAAUAAAUAAUAAUAAUUCUAGAGCAAAUAGUUUUCCAAAAAAUGUAUGUCCACAUACACCACAAAAUUAAAACCCCCUCAUGCCACCAAAACAGCGCCAACCCGCAUCUCAAUAGCAUUCUGAGAUUAUAUUCUUCUCACCACAAUUGUACAGAGCGGUUAUCUGAGUUACAGUAGACUUUGUCAGUUCGAACCAGUCUGACCAUUCUCUGUUGACCUCUCUAAUCAGCUAGGCAUUUCCAUCCACAGAACUGCUUUUGGCACCAUUCGGAGUAAAUUCUAGAGACUGUUGUGUGUGAAAAUCCCAGAAGAUCAGCAGUUACAGAAAUACUCAAACCAGCCCAUCUGGCACCAACAAUCAUGCCACGGUCAAAAUCACUGAGAUCACAUUUUUCCCCAUUCUGAUGGUUGAUGUGAACAUUAACUGAAACUCCUGACCCGUAUCUGAAUGAUUUUAUGCGCUGCACUGCUGCCACGCGAUUGGCUGAUUAGAUAAUCGCAUGGAUGAUUGUUGGUGCCAGACGGCUGGUGAAAAUGAUUAGUAAAUAUAUAGGAAUGCAUUUACUAAUGUUAAUGAAUAGAACUGUAUUGUACAAUGAUAACAAAAUAAAAUUUAUAUUAAAAUGAA